UCUCAAACAUCAUAAUCAUCUUUCCAAGCAAAGAAAAGCAAGAAUUUCAACCAAUCAAAGUAUCAAUGAAGUGAAAGACACACCUACAACCUAAACAAAGUCCAGAAAUCAAGAGAAACAUGCAAAACUGUACACAAGACACAACAAAACUAACUAGAAAACAAAAAAUUUUAACACGAAAAACAAAAACUAACAAAGAAAAAUCAGAAUCUCCCCCAAUAGACCACAUUUAAACUACACAGUGUUCUCAAUGUGUCAUAAUCAUCAAAUCAGAAAUCAGAACAGGCUACAGAUCAUGGACAAGUGCAAUAAAUGCAUGGAAAGGGGGAAGAAGGGAAAAGAAAACUCCCCUUAUCGUGGUGGCAUUUGCCAAUUUUGGACUUUCAGGGAGAUGUUUUCCACCAUUGGAUUCAGCAAGGAGGUGUUGAGGAAGAACUGUUUCAUCCUCCAGAUUUGAUCGAGUAGGGAGAUAUCCUCCACAGUUGGAUCUAAGAAGUAGUGAUUGUUGAUGAGUGGGUUCAGUUAGUGCCUAUUAAUCUUCAAACUGUUGUGUUUGCUGACACCCUUAUCUUUCUACCGUGGG
rnacentral:lncRNA from 1 species